rnacentral:rRNA from 1 species
CCUACGGGUGGCAGCAGUGGGGAAUAUUGCACAAUGGGGGAAACCCUGAUGCAGCGACGCCGCGUGAGCGAUGAAGUAUUUCGGUAUGUAACGCUCUAUCAGCAGGGAAGAAAAUGACGGUACCUGACCAAGAAGCCCCGGCUCACUACGAGCCAGCAGCCGCGGUAAUACGUAGGGGGCAAGCGUUAUCCGGAUUUACUGGGUGUAAAGGGAGCGUAGACGGCUGUGCAAGCCAGAAGUGAAAGCCCGGGGCUCAACCCCGGCACUGCGUUUGGAACUGCGUGGCUGGAGUAUAGGAGAGGCAGGCGGAAUUCCUAGUGUAGCGGUGAAAUGCGUAGAUAUUAGGAGGAACACCGGUGGCGAAGGCGGCCUGCUGGACGGUGACUGACGUUGAGGCUCGAAGGCGUGGGGAGCAAACAGGAUUAGAUACCCCAGUAGUC